CCCUAAAGUCAGUCCAGAAAUCUAAUAGCUCCACUUGAAAUCAAAGCAGCCAUGUUCUUUGAAACCACCAAUGUCAAACUGUGGAGGGUUUCUCAGUGCGCAGCACCAAGGCACUGCAGGAAGAGUCAUCUUUUCUAACUAAUUGGAGAAAUACAGGGUGCACAGGAAGUGCCCAGGGCAAGCAGCCAAGGACUAAAUCAUCUGGAAAGAUCUACAGGCCACGCACAAGUUCAAAAGGACAAGAGUAGUUGCCAGGGCUCUCUUUAGAGGGGAUUUGGCUACCGAGGGGGAUUCUCAACCCGCCUAACCUAGGCUGUCUUGUGGAGGAUGAAAACUAACAGAUGCCCUCGGCCAGCCCUACCUGCCUGGUGUGUGCCAGGCAGGCCCCAGGAAGGAAUUCAAAGCUGGAGGAUGCAUACCCCAUGCCAUUGGGGAAUUAAUUUCUUGAUAAGAGGGUGGGGUGUAUGCACGAAUUCUUUUCUCUUAGUUGUAAUGAUGUUAACUGUAUGCAACUCAGCCUGGGAAGUCUCGCGUGAGCCGGCUCUGAAGAAUGAAAGCGUAUGACUUGGAAGGAGAGGAGAUACGAAUCGGUAGCUAGCUAGGCUGGAGUCCACAUCGGAGUGGAUGGGGGUUCCCAGUUUUCAGCUGCGAAUACCAAAAGGCAGGCGGGUCUCUGAACUUUUCUGCCCUCCUCUCUCACUGCCCACAACAGGGCAGCAGCAGGGUCAACUGGCCAGACUUCUGUGUCCACAUGGCCUGUUGCCUCUAGCUCACCAGUAACACCUCGUGUCUCUGUUAAAGGGCAGCGCUUGGCAGGCUCGUGGAUCAGGGGCUGUGCCCGCCCGCCUGCCGCUUCCCACACAGGUCCACGUUCCCAUCCACCAAUGCCCCCGAAAUCCAUGGGAACGACCGACCGCAAGCUUGUGAAGGCGGGAAUAGAAGCUGGGAGAAAGUGUAGGAUGAGAGCCUGCCUGCAUCGCAGGAUGAGGGGGUGUCUAGCUGUCCCCUGCUCUGACAGGCAGUCAUCAUCUCCACCAGAAGCUCCCUGGAAGCUGCUGAGCCAGACGGAACCAAAAGCAUCUAAAAGGAUGUACCUCAGAGGGAUUCAGCCAUUCCCACUCCUACCCCUCCCUCAGAACCUCAUGAAGUUCCUGGCUUUCCUGAGUCUGUUGAGCUUGGUGCUGCAGAAGGCAGAGACAGCUUCUCUCCUAGGGGAGAGAGAAAGAGAAGAGCAGAGCCCUGAGGAAGGUGACACUUACGCGUCCCUGUAUGUGGGGAACCAUACCCUGAGCAUAGAGGACUACAACGAGGUCAUUGAUCUCAGCAACUAUGAAGAACUGGCAGACUAUGGAGACCAGAUCCCUGAGGCUAAAAUAAGCAAUCUGACUCUUCCAACAAGAACUAGUCCCACUAGCACUGUGGCUCAGAAGACAUUGUCACCAAACCUCACGAUGGCCGUACCUACCACCACUGGCCUACUAAACUCCCAGAGCAGUCAUGGCCUGCCUACCUGCCUGGUCUGUGUGUGCCUUGGCUCUUCUGUCUACUGUGAUGAUGCAGACCUGGAGAACAUCCCUCCUCUUCCCCAGAUGACCACCUACCUAUAUGCUCGCUUCAACCACAUCAGCCACAUCCAGGCUGGAGACUUCAAAGGGCUGACAAAACUGAGAAGGAUCGACCUCUCUGGCAACUCCAUCUCCUCCAUCCACAACGAUGCCCUCCGCCUGCUGCCUGCCCUGCAGGAUCUGAUCCUUCCAGAGAACCAGCUGGCAGCCCUGCCUGUGCUGCCCAGUGGCAUUGAGUUCCUGGACGUCCGCCUGAAUCGGCUGCAGAGCUCUGGGAUACAGCCUGAGGCAUUCGUGGUGAGUCAGGACAUCAGUCUGCCGUACGAAGUGCACCCUUCUCAUGUACCCUGACCUCACAGCUGUUCAUGCUCCACUCUUGUCUAGAGCCAAAAAUCAAUUCCCAUUUUUUUUCCUUUUUCCAUGUAUGGUUUAUUAAACAUUCUCUAGAAAAGGGUGUUUUACAUCAUGCCAUCUUGGUAGUGUCUACACCCUCUGCAAAUAGGAAACCUGGUGCUAUCAGGCCCCAGGAUCCUGUUCAUGGGGGCAGAACACAAGAAGCCAGUGCCGGCAGCUCCCCCUCCCCUCUGUGAGGAUGCUGCUCUAGCGUUGGCCUUUAUCUACGCAUUUGCUCCUCUUUGUACCAGCGCCCCAGACCAGCUCAUCCACUCUGUCCUUGAAAAUUCCAGUUUGUCUGUGGAGCUCACUCUGAUUCCAACUCCUACAAUCCAUCUUAAUGGCUUUGAAGUCUACCUCUAAAUAGUCAGUGACUCUCCAUGGUCAGAUUCACAAGAGACACAACUUGAUGCGUGUCUUAGUUAGGGUUUCUGUUGCUGUGAAGGGACACCAUGACCACGGCAACUCUUACAAAGGAGAACAUUUAACUGGGGGUUUGAUUAUAGGUCAGAUGCAUGGUGGCAUGCAGGCAGACAUGGUCCUGGAGGAGGAGCUGAGAGUCCUACAUCCAAAUUGGCAGGCAACAAGAAGAGAGAGUGAGCCACUAGGUCUAGCUUGAGUUUCUGAAAGCUCAAAGCCCACAGUGACACACUUCCUCCAACAAGGCCACACCUCCUAAGAACAUCAUGGGCCUAGGCAGGCUAUUUUUAUUCAAACCACUACAAGGGGUUACUGGCUAGAUUCGAAUCAUUUGACACAAAUGUGAUCCUAUAGGGCUACCCAAGGAACAGGGCUAGCCAGAGCCCAGGCUAUCCUCCACUGAAGACAAUGGGAGAAUAGACAAGACUGAUAUGUCCCAACUUGCUGGCUGCAGCACCUGGGAAGGGCCUUCAAAGACCAGUUGCUCGUGUGCAGCCUCUGUCUCUUUGAAGUACAGUCAAACCAUACAACAACAACAUUUCUAUCACUACUGGACUACAUGCAUGGUGGUGACCCCCUAAGACAGAGUCAUCUGUAACUUUGUAGCCCCUAAGACAAGAGUCAUCUAGCCCUCUUGGUUUGUGUAAGUAAUUUCACAAUGACACAUUUCUCAGAAUGCAUUCCUGUCCUUAAAGUAAGCAGUGUUCAAUCAUGUAGGCUCAUUUUUGCAAGCCAAUUCAUAUUUAGAAGUAUCAAAUAGAUAAAUAGUAAAAAAAAAAAAUUACCAUAGUGUGUGUGUGUGUGUGUGUGUGUGUGUGUGUGUGUGUGUGUGUGAACAAGGGUCUUGUUAUGUAGUCCAGGAUGCCCUCAAACUCAUUCUCCCCCUACCUCAGCUCCCUGAGUACAGAAAUAACAGGCCAUCAUCGCUGUGCUCACCAAGAGCUGUGUGCUCCUCAGCCUGUGCUCUUCUUCACAAACAUCCUCGCUCCCUGUCUCCUGUGUGCUGUGGGCCUACAGAGGGCCCAGAGAACAGGCUCCGGGCCCCUGGUGGGAUGCAAAACCUGCACACAUUAGCUUUCUUGGCUGUGCAGGAAGUACUGGGAUUGUCCGUACAGGGAGGUCUCUGGCUGUUCUAGCCCUCGAAACAUCGACUGUUUCCAUAUUAGGAGGUGCUUCUCUGCCUUCACUCAGCCCUAUUUUCUUGGCCAAGAAAAGGCAGGGGCUUUGCAGCCCUAGGACCUGAGCUCACUGAGUGAGUCACCUCUGAUCUUGUUUCCUCGUCUACAAAACAAGGGUGAUGAGGCCCACUCGACACAGCCGCUGCAGGACUGAACAGACCCAGCGUUUGCACAGAUCACAGGAUGGCUAAAUGCAGGCGCUGAAGAAGCUGCAGUUUCUCUACCUGGCCAA